UUAGAGGAAUUCCCUGCUCUGUUGUGGUCGUCUAUGUUCAGGGACAUUUCCUCAAACAUAGAAGAACACAGCAGAGCAGGGAAUCCCUUAAA